rnacentral:rRNA from 1 species
GAUUAAGUUAUUAAGGGCGCACGGUGGAUGCCUUGGCACUAGAAGCCGAUGAAGGACGUUACUAACGACGAUAUGCUUUGGGGAGCUGUAAGUAAGCUUUGAUCCAGAGAUUUCCGAAUGGGGAAACCCAACAUGAGUUAUGUCAUGUUAUCGAUAUGUGAAUACAUAGCAUAUCAGAAGGCACACCCGGAGAACUGAAACAUCUUAGUACCCGGAGGAAGAGAAAGAAAAUUCGAUUCCCUUAGUAGCGGCGAGCGAAACGGGAAGAGCCCAAACCAACAAGCUUGCUUGUUGGGGUUGUAGGACACUCUAUACGGAGUUACAAAGGACGACAUUAGACGAAUCAUCUGGAAAGAUGAAUCAAAGAAGGUAAUAAUCCUGUAGUCGAAAAUGUUGUCUCUCUUGAGUGGAUCCUGAGUACGACGGAGCACGUGAAAUUCCGUCGGAAUCUGGGAGGACCAUCUCCUAAGGCUAAAUACUCUCUAGUGACCGAUAGUGAACCAGUACCGUGAGGGAAAGGUGAAAAGCACCCCGGAAGGGGAGUGAAAUAGAACCUGAAACCGUGUGCUUACAAGUAGUCAGAGCCCGUUAAUGGGUGAUGGCGUGCCUUUUGUAGAAUGAACCGGCGAGUUACGAUUUGAUGCAAGGUUAAGCAGUAAAUGUGGAGCCGUAGCGAAAGCGAGUCUGAAUAGGGCGUUUAGUAUUUGGUCGUAGACCCGAAACCAGGUGAUCUACCCUUGGUCAGGUUGAAGUUCAGGUAACACUGAAUGGAGGACCGAACCGACUUACGUUGAAAAGUGAGCGGAUGAACUGAGGGUAGCGGAGAAAUUCCAAUCGAACCUGGAGAUAGCUGGUUCUCUCCGAAAUAGCUUUAGGGCUAGCCUCAAGCGAUGAUUAUUGGAGGUAGAGCACUGUUUGGACGAGGGGCCCCUCUCGGGUUACCGAAUUCAGACAAACUCCGAAUGCCAAUUAAUUUAACUUGGGAGUCAGAACAUGGGUGAUAAGGUCCGUGUUCGAAAGGGAAACAGCCCAGACCACCAGCUAAGGUCCCAAAAUAUAUGUUAAGUGGAAAAGGAUGUGGCGUUGCCCAGACAACUAGGAUGUUGGCUUAGAAGCAGCCAUCAUUUAAAGAGUGCGUAAUAGCUCACUAGUCGAGUGACACUGCGCCGAAAAUGUACCGGGGCUAAACAUAUUACCGAAGCUGUGGAUUGUCCUUUGGACAAUGGUAGGAGAGCGUUCUAAGGGCGUUGAAGCAUGAUCGUAAGGACAUGUGGAGCGCUUAGAAGUGAGAAUGCCGGUGUGAGUAGCGAAAGACGGGUGAGAAUCCCGUCCACCGAUUGACUAAGGUUUCCAGAGGAAGGCUCGUCCGCUCUGGGUUAGUCGGGUCCUAAGCUGAGGCCGACAGGCGUAGGCGAUGGAUAACAGGUUGAUAUUCCUGUACCACCUAUAAUCGUUUUAAUCGAUGGGGGGACGCAGUAGGAUAGGCGAAGCGUGCGAUUGGAUUGCACGUCUAAGCAGUAAGGCUGAGUAUUAGGCAAAUCCGGUACUCAUUAAGGCUGAGCUGUGAUGGGGAGAAGACAUUGUGUCUUCGAGUCGUUGAUUUCACACUGCCGAGAAAAGCCUCUAGAUAGAAAAUAGGUGCCCGUACCGCAAACCGACACAGGUAGUCAAGAUGAGAAUUCUAAGGUGAGCGAGCGAACUCUCGUUAAGGAACUCGGCAAAAUGACCCCGUAACUUCGGGAGAAGGGGUGCUCUUUAGGGUUAACGCCCAGAAGAGCCGCAGUGAAUAGGCCCAAGCGACUGUUUAUCAAAAACACAGGUCUCUGCUAAACCGUAAGGUGAUGUAUAGGGGCUGACGCCUGCCCGGUGCUGGAAGGUUAAGAGGAGUGGUUAGCUUCUGCGAAGCUACGAAUCGAAGCCCCAGUAAACGGCGGCCGUAACUAUAACGGUCCUAAGGUAGCGAAAUUCCUUGUCGGGUAAGUUCCGACCCGCACGAAAGGCGUAACGAUUUGGGCACUGUCUCAACGAGAGACUCGGUGAAAUCAUAGUACCUGUGAAGAUGCAGGUUACCCGCGACAGGACGGAAAGACCCCGUGGAGCUUUACUGUAGCCUGAUAUUGAAAUUCGGCACAGCUUGUACAGGAUAGGUAGGAGCCUUUGAAACGUGAGCGCUAGCUUACGUGGAGGCGCUGGUGGGAUACUACCCUAGCUGUGUUGGCUUUCUAACCCGCACCACUUAUCGUGGUGGGAGACAGUGUCAGGCGGGCAGUUUGACUGGGGCGGUCGCCUCCUAAAAGGUAACGGAGGCGCUCAAAGGUUCCCUCAGAAUGGUUGGAAAUCAUACAUAGCGUGUAAAGGCAUAAGGGAGCUUGACUGCGAGACCUACAAGUCGAGCAGGGUCGAAAGACGGACUUAGUGAUCCGGUGGUUCCGCAUGGAAGGGCCAUCGCUCAACGGAUAAAAGCUACCCCGGGGAUAACAGGCUUAUCUCCCCCAAGAGUUCACAUCGACGGGGAGGUUUGGCACCUCGAUGUCGGCUCAUCGCAUCCUGGGGCUGUAGUCGGUCCCAAGGGUUGGGCUGUUCGCCCAUUAAAGCGGUACGCGAGCUGGGUUCAGAACGUCGUGAGACAGUUCGGUCCCUAUCCGUCGUGGGCGUAGGAAAUUUGAGAGGAGCUGUCCUUAGUACGAGAGGACCGGGAUGGACAUACCUCUGGUGUACCAGUUGUCGUGCCAACGGCAUAGCUGGGUAGCUAUGUGUGGACGGGAUAAGUGCUGAAAGCAUCUAAGCAUGAAGCCCCCCUCAAGAUGAGAUUUCCCAACUUCGGUUAUAAGAUCCCUCAAAGAUGAUGAGGUUAAUAGGUUCGAGGUGGAAGCAUGGUGACAUGUGGAGCUGACGAAUACUAAUCGAUCGAAGACUUAAUCAA